rnacentral:rRNA from 1 species
GACUACUGGGGUAUCUAAGCCCGUUCGCUCCCCUGGCUUUCGCACCUCAGCGUCAGGCGUGGCCCAGUUGACCGCCUUCGCCACGGGUGUUCCUCCUGAUCUCUACGCAUUUCACCGCUACACCAGGAAUUCCAUCAACCUCUACCACCCUCGAGCUCUGCCGGUGCGGCGGACCUCUCCCAGUUGAGCCGGGAGCUUUCACCACCGCCGUACAAAGCCGCCUACGUGCGCUUUACGCCCAGUAAUUCCGGAUAACGCUUGCCCCCCCCGUCUUACCGCGGCUGCUGGCACGGAGUUAGCCGGGGCUUCUUCCUCAGGUACCGUCAUUAUCGUCCCCAAGAAAAGCGGUUUACAAUCCGAAGAUCGUCAUCCCGCACGCGGCGUCGCUGCGUCAGGGUUUCCCCCAUUGCGCAAGAUUCCCCACUGCAGCCCCCCGUAGG